AGUAAGCAUAGAGAUAUAGUGAAAGUGGAGAGCAGGAAGAGACAGGGUGAGGAUAGGAGUAAGUAAGGUAUUCAGUAAGCAUAGAGAUAUAGUGAAAGUGGAGAGUAGGAAGAGACAGGGUGAGGAUAGGAGUAAGUAAGGUAUUCAGUAAGCAUAGAGAUAUAGUGAAAGUGGAGAGUAGGAAGAGACAGGGUGAGGACAGGAGUAAGUAAGGUAUUCAGUAAGCAUAGAGAUAUAGUGAAAGUGGAGAGUAGGAAGAGACAGGGUGAGGAUAGGAGUAAGUAAGGUAUUCAGUAAGCAUAGAGAUAUAGUGAAAGUGGAGAGUAGGAAGAGACAGGGUGAGGAUAGGAGUAAGUAAGGUAUUCAGUAAGCAUAGAGAUAUAGUGAAAGUGGAGAGUAGGAAGAGACAGGGUGAGGACAGGAGUAAGUAAGGUAUUCAGUAAGCAUAGAGAUAUAGUGAAAGUGGAGAGUAGGAAGAGACAGGGUGAGGAUAGGAGUAAGUAAGGUAUUCAGUAAGUACAGAGAUAUACUGAAAGUGGAGAGUAGGAAGAGACAGGGUGAGGAUAGGAGUAAGUAAGGUAUUCAGU